rnacentral:rRNA from 1 species
GUCUAUGGCCAUGCUGCCCUAAACAAGCCCAAUCCCAUCUGAUCUCAGAAGCUAAGCAGGGUCGGGCCUGGUUAGUAUUGGAUGGGAGACCACCUAGGAAGACUAGGUGCUGGAGGUG